AUGAGGUGUGUACAUCUGAAAGGGAAGGGGUCUGUGUUGGCGGAUGUGCUACUGUCCAGGAAUCAAAUUCAGUCGUUGGUGGCUGAUGUUAACCGCAAUGAUCUACUGGCCAUAGGUGUCUGGUACGUGUGGUGGGAGCGUCGCCAGUUCACUCAUGGUGAGCUCCUUUUUGAGCCAACGAGAUCAGCACAAGCAAUUUUUGCUUUGGCAAAAAACUUCACACGGGCACAAUCUAAAAAUAUGAGAAUCAGGAGACAUGGAUGGAACAAGCCGCCGGAUGGUCUAGUUAAACUCAAUAUUGAUGCUACGUUUGAUCAAGACAGAGGUACUGGGAGUACUGGUGCAAUUUUACGUGAUGACACAGGUUUUUUUUUGGCUGCAUCUUGUGUUGAUAUUCCGUUCGUGGAAGAUGCGGGGACAGCAGAAGCUCGGGGUCUUAGGGACGGGGCUGCAACAAAAUCUAUGUGGAGGCAGAUUGUAUGGAGAGUGGAUGUUGUGCCUUGUGCACAACAUACAAGGCCGAAGGGCGGCCUGCUCAUGCUUGGUAUCCUGCCACCACUUCAUUGUGCAUGGCCGGAUAGUGCAUACAUGUUUGUUGCUUCUCAUGUCACGCAUGACUUUCAAGGAUAG
rnacentral:rRNA from 1 species